rnacentral:rRNA from 1 species
CCUACGGGCGGCUGCAGUGGGGAAUAUUGGACAAUGGGCGAAAGCCUGAUCCAGCCAUGCCGCGUGUGUGAAGAAGGCCUUCGGGUUGUAAAGCACUUUCAGUGGGGAAGAAAGCCUUGGGGCUAAUACCCUCGAGGAAGGACAUCACCCACAGAAGAAGCACCGGCUAACUCCGUGCCAGCAGCCGCGGUAAUACGGAGGGUGCGAGCGUUAAUCGGAAUUACUGGGCGUAAAGCGCGCGUAGGCGGUCUGAUAAGCCGGUUGUGAAAGCCCCGGGCUCAACCUGGGAACGGCAUCCGGAACUGUCAGGCUAGAGUGCAGGAGAGGAAGGUAGAAUUCCCGGUGUAGCGGUGAAAUGCGUAGAGAUCGGGAGGAAUACCAGUGGCGAAGGCGGCCUUCUGGACUGACACUGACGCUGAGGUGCGAAAGCGUGGGUAGCAAACAGGAAUAGAUACCCGAGUAGUC